GUGUGAUUACUAUUUUCUUUACGCCCCAGGCCCUAUCCAUUGAUAAUAAUAUAUAUACGUAAUUAUACAAUAAUCCAAUCCGGUUUAGCGGUCUCAACCUUAGUUUUAGGGAAAUCUGCGAAACCAAAGUAAUUCGUUUGUUUCCUUUUUGUUUGUAUAAUAGUACUUAAUUCGGUCACUCACUGCUCCUCGUUGUAUUAAUAUGUUUUUAUUAUUUCCAAAAAACCGUAAACGGUUUUCGUAAAAUUGGGAGAAAAGGUUUUUGCCUACAAAAAUACCUAAAUAAAUGGGGGUACGGGCUUCCCCCCUUUUAUUACCUUCGAUUUUAGGAUUUUACAUUCACAUACUGCGUACAAUUUUUCAAACCAAGCCCAUGCCCGCCCUGAAUCAACUCGACCCAGGAAUCCUCGCCCACCCCUUUGAAAAUUCGUGGACACAACUCAUAAUUUCAGACUUCUAGGUUGGGGCCGGUCUUGGCUUGGCUCCGGGGUCGAGUCACAAUUUGUAUUAGCUUUUUAUUUUUUACGAUAAUCAGACUUAACACGAUUUUUGGUUCUGGCAUCGAGAAAACGCAGCGAAUGCGAUAAGUAAGUGAAUUGCAAAUUCAGUGAUCAUCGAAUCUUUGAACGCACAUUGCGCCCGCCAGUAUUCUGGCGGGCAUGCCUGUUCGAGCGUCAUUUCAACCAUCAAGCCCCCGGGCUUGUGUUGGGGACCUGCGGCUGCCGCAGGCCCUGAAAAGCAGUGGCGGGCUCGCUGUCACACCGAGCGUAGUAGCAUACAUCUCGCUCCGGUCGUGCUGCGGGUUCCCGGCCCGUUUAAACCCACCUCUUUUUAAACCCCAAGGUUGACCUCGGAUCAGGUAGGAAGAUCCCG
rnacentral:rRNA from 1 species